rnacentral:rRNA from 1 species
CAAUAGCGUAUAUUAAAGUUGUUGCGGUUAAAAGCUCGUAGUUGGAUUUCUGUCUGAGGCGGCCGGUCCACUUUCUGAGUGAGCAUCUGGUCCGCUUUGGGCAUCCUCCUGGGGAACGUUUCCGCGCUUGAUUGUGUGGUACGGAAUCUAGGACUUUUACUUUGAGGAAAUUAGAGUGUUCACUGCAGGCAUACGCCUUGAAUACGUUAGCAUGGAAUAAUAAGAUAGGACCUCGGUUCUAUUUUUUCGGUUUUCUUAGAGCUGAGGUAAUGAUUAACUAAGGGAGUAGUUGGGGGUCGGAUUCGUAUUUAACUUGUCAGAGGUGGAAAUUACUUUGGAUUUGUUUAAAGAACGAACUAACUGCGAAAGACAUUUGUCCAAGG